rnacentral:rRNA from 1 species
GUGACGAUAGAGAGAAGGUCCACCUGUUCUCAUCCCGAACACAGAAGUUAAGCUUCUCAUCGCCGAAAAUACUUGGCUGGUGACGGCCUGGAAAGAUAGGACAUUGC